rnacentral:rRNA from 1 species
ACGGAAGGCAGCAGUGGGGAAUAUUGCACAAUGGGCGAAAGCCUGAUGCAGCGACGCCGCGUGAGUGAAGAAGUAUUUCGGUAUGUAAAGCUCUAUCAGCAGGGAAGAAAAAUGACGGUACCUGACUAAGAAGCACCGGCUAAAUACGUGCCAGCAGCCGCGGUGAUACGUAUGGUGCAAGCGUUAUCCGGAUUUACUGGGUGUAAAGGGAGCGCAGGCGGUACGGCAAGUCUGAUGUGAAAGCCCGGGGCUCAACCCCGGUACUGCAUUGGAAACUGUCGAACUAGAGUGUCGGAGGGGUAAGCGGAAUUCCUAGUGUAGCGGUGAAAUGCGUAGAUAUUAGGAGGAACACCAGUGGCGAAGGCGGCUUACUGGACGAUAACUGACGCUGAGGCUCGAAAGCGUGGGGAGCAAACAGGAUUAGAUACCCUGGUA